GUCAAGAUUUCCCUGCUGCUGGACCCUGGACUCGCUCUGGACAGCAUUAUAACCCUUUGCCCCCCACCAACCUGUGGCGGGGGCAGCGAGUUCAUCAUCAGACCAGAGCCAUCUGCUCACACACACACUCCAGGUUCAGUGCAGGUGGAGGUUUCCGUUCCCAUCAUCCUUCCCAAGCAGAUGAUUGCUGUGUGAGGAGUGUGAGGAGGUGGAGGCCUCAUGUCAGAUCUCACCCAUACCCCCCCAACCUUCCACUGGAGACACCCAGACACCAUGCAUAUGGAUGGUGAGCUGGAGAAGCAGAAACUCUUUACAGCAGGGACACAGAGACUCUGGAUUUAACAUAAACUGGACGAUUUCCAAAAACAAAUAAUGAUUCACUGCCGAUAUUCAGCAAACUUGUUAGGAAA